rnacentral:rRNA from 1 species
GACGAACGCUGGCGGCGUGCUUAACACAUGCAAGUCGAACGGAAAGGCCCUGCUUGCAGGGUACUCGAGUGGCGAACGGGUGAGUAACACGUGGGUGAUCUGCCCUGCACUUCGGGAUAAGCCUGGGAAACUGGGUCUAAUACCGGCUAUGACCUUCCAUGUAGUGUGGGGGGUGGAAAGAUUUAUCGGUGUUGGAUGAGCCCGCGGCCUAUCAGCUUGUUGGUGGGGUAAUGGCCUACCAAGGCGUCGACGGGUAGCCGGCCUGAGAGGGUGGACGGCCACAUUGGGACUGAGAUACGGCCCAGACUCCUACGGGAGGCAGCAGUGGGGAAUAUUGCACAAUGGGCGGAAGCCUGAUGCAGCGACGCCGCGUGGGGGAUGACGGCCUUCGGGUUGUAAACCUCUUUCGACAGGGACGAAGCUUCGGUGACGGUACCUGUAUAAGAAGCACCGGCUAACUACGUG